GCCCAGCCAACAUUUGUUUUUGAAAAGAAGGACCGUCCUUUGAAGAUUUUAAUAGUUGUUCCAGAAAGCGUGGAAGAUCAUCAUCUUUUACUUUCCAGAAGUCUGACUCUCAGUUUAACUCAGAUACAACUCUCACUCAGAAAAGAGAGAGAUCAUCUUCAUUUACCAUCUUUCCUACCUUCCCUCCCUCCCAGCCAGGUAAUUAAAAAAAAAAAGAAAACAAACCCAAUAAAUAUUUAUGGAGAAAAGCAGGUAUUAGUUAAAAUAAACAGGUGUACAGA
rnacentral:lncRNA from 1 species